rnacentral:tRNA from 2 species
GGGCCUGUAGCUCAGUCGGUCAGAGCAGAGGACUCAUAAUCCUUUGGUCCUGGGUUCGAGCCCCAGCGGGCCCACCA